rnacentral:lncRNA from 1 species
ACCCAUUUAUCUCCACAGCCCACCAGCCCGAGAGGCCACAGCCUCGUGCCUCUCCACAUGACCACGCAAACCCUAAUCCGCCUCCACCCACAGCCGCCGCCUCCUCUCCCUCUCUACUCCCGAUUCAGAUCCAUGCCCAGCCUCCCUCGACGCGCGACUGCCACCCCCUUGAUCUCCCGCGCCGCCGCCCCAACCAUAUCCCGCUCCACCUCCGUCUCCCACCCUCUAUCGCUCCUCCACCGCCCCCACACUCUCCCCUAUGCAGCCUGCUCAGAUCCGCGAUGGGGGCACACGCGGCCGUAGCGGCGGUCCCGCAUCCGCGUCAAGGUCAGCCCCCUGUUCGUCGUCAUGGGCGCGGUGGUCAUGAGGAAGGUGGUUGAAGUCGGCGAGAUGGACGUUGUCGCCUACCCGCUGCCCAGGACCAAGGACGGCUGCCCCGACGCUCCGGUCUUCACAAUCUCGGUCUAGGAGAGGAGGGGUUGACCACUGUUUUAUUCAGCACUGCUUGGCCUUAUUCGCAUCGCCACAAGUGACCUCGCCGGACCACUUGCCAUGAAGGUGAGAACCCUUUUCGCUCCCCACUAAAUGACUAACAAUCCAUUUAGGAUGCCAGGAUAGUGUUUUGUAGUAAAGUAACUUCUGUGGAAGGGAAUAAUUGUUUUAGAAAGAUAGCAAGAUGAUGUUACGGUUUAUAUUUUGCAUCGUUGAUGUGACUGAUCUUUUUUAAUGUCUAGAUUUAUAUUUACAUCUUUUUUUCAUGAACAUGUAUUAGUAACAAAUAUAUGUGGGGUGCUUACAUAUUUUCUGACGUCGUGAUGUGUUUGUAUGUGCCGUGUUUGUAUGUGCCAAUUUACUUUACAGAUAUACAUCAUUGAGAUCGAUCAAAAUAUGAUGAAGAGUGUAUAUGAAACUGAAAAGAUGGUAUGCUUAAAGUACGACUAUGGAGUAAUCUAGGCAGACAAACUGAAACUAAUCCUCAAUAAGACUCAGAAAAUAGUAGAAUCCGGAGGAGUUAUUUCAAUGAAUCACUAUUGAUAUCUUGCCCAAUGAUCAAAAGUAGUAGUGGCUCAAACAGGUAGCACUCAUAAACAGACCGUCUGUGCAGAUUGUAUCUGUAGAUAAAAACAUUACUUUUAGACAAAUAAUAGAUAAAACAGUAUGUAGCUCCCAAGAGCCUUUGCUAAAAUUAUCUAGCUGGAAGUGUAUGUAGAUAGCAACUAAAUGGUACUCUUUUUAUGUAAAACUAACCUUCUAGCAGUUAGUUACAGCACAUUUUAGGACAACAGAAAAGUGCACUGCUUAAUCUCAUACGAGAUGGUAACUGUGUGCAAGCACCAUAUCUAACUGUGCUUAGUCAUUCUAAACUGUGAACACACUGAAUUAUUUGUCUAAAAAGUAAUGAGUGUUAUUUAUACAGCGACUUGAGACACAACUGACAACACAACUCUUAACAGAGCUACAAACAAUGAUAAGAGAUCACAAAAGUUGAGCCAAGCAACUCAAAAAGUAUCAACCUCAUAGUGCAGAAUUCAGUUUGAGAUUCUGAAUGUGCACGGGGCAUCUUAGUCUUAGAGGUGAAGUUUAAUCUACAGCAGAUGUACUGACACCACGAAGGGUGUUGUAGAGCAGAAGAUUUCCCAUGGCAAUUUCCAUACCAUGCACAUGAUCGAGUUACAUUGAUUUAAGCACCAAUCAACCACUUUUAGCUAAAAGUAAAUAGGCUCUGCCCCUGAGUUAAUUGACUAACCUGGGAACCAAAAUCAUUUAGACCAUUAUUUGUGUUUAUUUGAACUGAGUCUUUUGCUUUCACUACAUCGUCAGUAGAGUUGCUCCUGGUACUACUUUUUACCUGUGUGUUCAUUGAGUUGUUGGCCUCUUAAGUAAAACAUUUUGCACCAAAUACUAUUGCUCGGGAUUAUGGUUCAAUGUGUAUCUUUCAUUUUACGUAGUGGUUAAGUGAAAUAUUAUAUAUACUAGUAGGUGGGUAUGUGCACAACACGUGCGGGGUUCAAUUGAUGGAUACAAAUCUUAUCCCUUCAAAUACAACACCUUCUUGCAUGUAUGGCUUCAGUGAGUCCAUCUCUGAAGUCAGUUCUGAUUUGUAUGUAAAGGUUCACAUAUUUAGAAUUGGUAUCUUGCACUGUAGCCAUCUUAAAAAAGCUUCACCAAGAGCUUCCAAAUCUUGUUGAUGCGAUACAUUAGUGUGCAAUGCUGCGGACACUCGCGGUCCUGCUCUCAGUGCGUGUGCCGUGACCAGCUACGCAUGAAUGGAUAACAUCAUACAUAAGUGAACUUUUCCUACAUUGCCUGAUAUGAUGGUUCUGGAAAUUAGCAGUGCCUUCGUCGGUACUCUAGCCACUAUUGUAGCUGUGAAUCCCACCAUUUUGAGCUGCUCGAUGGACACUAUCAACGGCUCACUUUGCUUUUUUGGCCUUGAAAUACGUAUGUUUAAAACUUGUACACUAUAUAGUAGUAUAGAUAUCUCAACAGACAUAAUUAACUCAAAUGUACAUGUUUAAUCAUUUCAUGUUCUUUGUUUUAAUAGAAAAUUUCUUUGAAAUGUCCCUGUAAAGAUUUGUUGCAGCCACAUAUAUCAACCGAAUUAUGCUCUAAUCCGCCAGGAUAGGUAUUCCACCGACCAUCUCACUGCUAAUAUUCAUAUUUGAUUUCUUUUUGUGUGAUAUUGAGAUGUGCAUAUGUGUUCUUUUUGCCUGCGGCAAUUCUUGUUUGCUUGCUGCUAAAAAUGGGCAUGUUGACUGAAAAAUGCGAUGUUGCUGUACAUUGUUCCUUGUUCCUGUCAUUUUAUUGUGGGUGAGCUAGUCACGCUGUCAUUUUAAAUAAAUAUUUGGGUGAAUGUUUCCCAUAAUGUAUUCUCAUGCUAAUAGUUCUCACAAUUCGUUUUCUGCUGUUCUUUUGCAGGUAAUUGAGGUAGAACAGAAGAUAUUACACUUGAGUUUAGUUUAGAAGGGUAACUCCACUUGGGAUGGAACAGAUGAUACUACACUCAAGACAAGCAACACAGAUUAUAUGUAUGAUGUAUAUAAAUCUCCGUUGUGAUUGUGAUAUGUAAUUGUAAUCUGUUAUGGUGAUCUGAAUUUUGUAGUUGUGAAUCUGUAUUUGUGCACUAUAUGUUUUUCUUUGCUAAAUGGAGAUUCUUUACUUUUUUGUGUGGAUCAAAUAUUGGCAACCUGGGCUGAAGAUGGGUCUGAACAGGUAAGGACAAUAAUGAUCUAGAACGUGCAAGUAUAAUAAAUGUGUAUAAAAGGCAAACUAAAAAGAAUAUUAAAAUAAUGGAAAAGUGGUUGAAGGCCCAAUAAACAGUGGACUACAUGGGCCUAAAUAUUUGUAGAAAGAUAAAUUACUGGGCCUUAUUGUUGGGCUGCCAAGUCAGAUCGACCAUGAUGCCACAUCAGCUG